rnacentral:SRP_RNA from 1 species
GCUGGGCAUGGUGGCGCGUGUCUGUAAUCUCAGCUACUUGGGAGGCUGAGGCAGGAGAAUUGCUUGAACCUGGGAGGCGGAAGGUUGCAGUGAGCUGAGAUCGCACCACUGCACUCCAGCCUGAGUGACAGAGUGAGACUGUCUCAAAAAAAAGGAAUCUAAGUCAGCUAAGAUGAGAGCUACAGAUAAAGUGUUUGGUUGAUUUGGAGAGUCUUUUAGAAUUGUAUAUUUAUCUAAACAAGUUAUUUAUUUAUUCUGAGACAUAGUCUCACUCUAUUGCUCAGGCUGGAGUGCAGUGGUGUGAUCUUGGCUCACUGCAACCUCCGUCUCCCGGGUUCAAGCGAUUCUCCUGCCUCAGU